rnacentral:rRNA from 1 species
UACGUAGGGUGCAAGCGUUGUCCGGAAUUAUUGGGCGUAAAGAGCUCGUAGGCGGUUCGUCGCGUCGGCUGUGAAAACCUGAGGCUCAACCUCAGGCCUGCAGUCGAUACGGGCGGACUUGAGUACUGCAGGGGAGACUGGAAUUCCUGGUGUAGCGGUGGAAUGCGCAGAUAUCAGGAGGAACACCGGUGGCGAAGGCGGGUCUCUGGGCAGUAACUGACGCUGAGGAGCGAAAGCGUGGGGAGCGAACAGG